CCUAGACCUAUUUAAGAGCUGGCUACCAGUGAGGAAGGACCUUGUCUGGAGACUGCCUCUGCUGGUGUUUUUUGUAGGUGAGCCUAGCAUACAGGGGGUUGCCUCGGAGGUGCACAAAUGGCGCAGCCUGUAUCUCAGGGGGGACAGCACGGAGGAAGUUGUUCUGCAGAUCAAGCCUGGACAAAUUGGGCAGGCUGGCGAGCGAUGCAGGGACUGUCACCAGAAGAUUGCUGUGAAGAUGCAGCCGCCGCAGAGACUUCAAAUUGGCU